rnacentral:rRNA from 1 species
CCUACGGGUGGCAGCAGUGGGGAAUCUUGCGCAAUGGGCGAAAGCCUGACGCAGCGACGCCGCGUGAGGGAUGAAGGCCUUCGGGUUGUAAACCUCUUUCAGCGGGGACGAAGCGAAGUGACGGUACCCGCAGAAGAAGCCCCGGCCAACUACGUGCCAGCAGCCGCGGUAAUACGUAGGGGGCAAGCGUUGUCCGGAUUUAUUGGGCGUAAAGAGCUCGUAGGCGGCUUCGUAAGUCGGAUGUGAAACCCCACGGCUCAACUGUGGGCAGCCAUUCGAUACUGCGAGGCUAGAGUCCGGUAGGGGAACAUGGAAUUCCUGGUGUAGCGGUGAAAUGCGCAGAUAUCAGGAGGAACACCAGUGGCGAAGGCGGUGGCCUGGGCCGGUACUGACGCUGAGGAGCGAAAGCGUGGGGAGCGAACAGGAUUAGAUACCCUUGUAGUC